rnacentral:rRNA from 1 species
AUGCAAGAUGAAUAUACGGUGCUGAUGGUGAACAGGACAUGGACACUCGUGUCGCGCCCGCCCGGCGCAAAUGUGGUCACCGGCAAGUGGCUGUUUUGCCAUAAGCUCAAGGCGGACAGGACGCUCGAACGGUACAAGGCCAGGUGGGUGGUCUGGGGUUUCUCUCAACGGCCCGAAGUCGACUUCGACGAGACGUUCUCGCCAGUCGUCAAGUCGGCCACCAUCCGCACCGUGCUCACCGUCCCUGCCACCCGGGACUGGCCAGUUCAUCAGAUGGACGUGAAUAACGCAUUCCUCCACGUGCAGCUCACGGAGCACGUCUACUGCCAACAGUCGUCCGAGUUCGUCGACAAGCUACGCACCGACCACGUGUGCCUCCUCGACAAGUCCCUGUAUGGGCUUAAACAGGCGCCACGUGCCUGGUUCGCUCGGUUU